rnacentral:rRNA from 1 species
UAGAAGGAGUUGCGAACGGGUGAGUAACGCGUAGGUAACCUGCCUACUAGCGGGGGAUAACUAUUGGAAACGAUAGCUAAUACCGCAUAACAGUGUUUAACACAUGUUAGAUGCUUGAAAGAUGCAAAUGCAUCACUAGUAGAUGGACCUGCGUUGUAUUAGCUAGUUGGUGGGGUAACGGCCUACCAAGGCGACGAUACAUAGCCGACCUGAGAGGGUGAUCGGCCACACUGGGACUGAGACACGGCCCAGACUCCUACGGGAGGCAGCAGUAGGGAAUCUUCGGCAAUGGGGGCAACCCUGACCGAGCAACGCCGCGUGAGUGAAGAAGGUUUUCGGAUCGUAAAGCUCUGUUGUAAGAGAAGAACGUGUGUGAGAGUGGAAAGUUCACACAGUGACGGUAACUUACCAGAAAGGGACGGCUAACUACGUGCCAGCAGCCGCGGUAAUACGUAGGUCCCGAGCGUUGUCCGGAUUUAUUGGGCGUAAAGCGAGCGCAGGCGGUUUAAUAAGUCUGAAGUUAAAGGCAGUGGCUUAACCAUUGUUCGCUUUGGAAACUGUUAAACUUGAGUGCAGAAGGGGAGAGUGGAAUUCCAUGUGUAGCGGUGAAAUGCGUAGAUAUAUGGAGGAACACCGGUGGCGAAAGCGGCUCUCUGGUCUGUAACUGACGCUGAGGCUCGAAAGCGUGGGGAGCAAACAGGAUUAGAUACCCUGGUAGUCCACGCCGUAAACGAUGAGUGCUAGGUGUUAGGCCCUUUCCGGGGCUUAGUGCCGCAGCUAACGCAUUAAGCACUCCGCCUGGGGAGUACGACCGCAAGGUUGAAA